AUCUUCUUUCGUUGGCGAAGGCGGUUUCUCAACUAUAGGCGGCCCAGUAAUUAUUAUGUCUUCGUCAAACUGCCAGCCGUCCGCCACAUAACGUGCCCUAUAAGAAGUUAUCCCUUUUGGAUGAAAUCCUAUAGAAAGUCAUGUCAGCGGACCUGAGAUUUGGGAUAAAGUUGAGCUGAUAAGCGUGCACGGUAAGCCUUUUAAGACUAUAAUUACAUACAGUUGUAAAAAUAUGUUGGGGUAAGAUGACAUAGGUUUUCAUUCUUUUUGUUUUUAUUUGGUAUAGUAAACCAGUUAUUAAACAGAAUUAUAUAACCGUAAUCCGCGACUCUAAAAGAGCGUUGUUAAUUUUUAAAAUUACGAUCAGGAAAUAUAGGAUUUAGGUGCCAACGGUAUCGCAUCUUACUCUAGAAUAC